CCCGAGUUUGCCUCUCUCCUCUCCUUGCUCGUCUUCUCCGGCGACUUCGCUAUGGAGCAACGCCGUCCGGUCUCUGUGCACCACCUAACCACCAUCGAUUUCUUUCUCGCUUCAUUUUCUACAAACCCAAUCCUUAAAUCCAUUGUUAGAGCUAGACCUGAAGAGAUCGGAUUCAAGGUUCUCGACUGUGUUCAUUGAUUUCUGGCGUGCUCCGGCAGCGACGACGAUAGCGAGGGUCUCUGGCGAAGGUUUCUGGCGUCUCCCUCCUCUUCCCGGCGUCUCCUCUUUCUCUUGGAGACUAAAAUGAACACGAAGGGAGGCUAGGAGGGCUGUUGUCGUUGUGUUGGAGGAAACCCAAUCCCAAAAUCCGGCAAGGAAGCUACUGCCGGCUAGAGGGGCUUGGUUUCUCGGUUGAAGUGAUAGGAACGGGAGCAGAAGAAGAACUUGAUCAUGGAGUAGAGAUUAUUGGUAAAAUAAAUUUGGGUGCGGAAUUUCGAAAGCAAGAAUUAGGGAAAGGAAUGUUGGGACGAGCCAAGGAAGUGUAAUUGUAGCAAAGGUGGUUUGUGAGUGUAAAGAUAAAUUCUUGGGUGUAGAGAGUAAUCUGGUUGCAGCCCUUUCGCAAUUAAUAAUAAGGACUCAAGUAUGUGCCUAUGGACGUAAAGGCUCGCCGUAGGAAGUUGACGGGCAUUUGACUUAGGAAGCCUCCG